rnacentral:lncRNA from 13 species
GAAGGAUGUCUGAACUACAGUCAGAUUCUCAGACAGCACAAUUUUCGUGAAAUACAUAUGGGAGUUGAAAAUCUAGAAACUGAUAUUCUUAAAACCACCCAUCCCAUGUACCUAUUGAAAAGUGAUCCUGCACUUUCAGAGCCAUGAUACAUCAAACUGAAGACUGCUUUCUAGAGGCUCUUCUUUUCUCUAUUGGGAGCCUGUGUUAUUUCCUGGUCUGCAGCUCUCAUUGUCUCAUCAAGGCUUGGAUGUCCUGGUCUCUUCUUUCCCUACGGAACUUCCCUGUUCAAGGUCCUAAGCCUUGUGGAUUUGUUCUAUGUGAUCUGGUGAUCAAUAUUGGCUAAAAGGAGUUCUUGACUCCACAUCAAAAUGGAGAACAGAGGUUCAGAAUGAUACUUACAAUGGCAAAAAGACACAAAGAGUUGAGAGCCAAGCUUGAAGAAAGGAAUGACCCUUAAUACAAAACAUAUUGGAGAAAGUCAUCUUCCACCGAAAGCAGUUAUUAAAGAUUUGGUCGUUUAAAGAAACCUUGUACCUUUGCCCUCUCGAAUAAAAAAAGUGUGUAUUUAUUUAAUUAUAAUCA